rnacentral:rRNA from 1 species
UGGGGAAUAUUGGGCAAUGGGCGAAAGCCUGACCCAGCAACGCCGCGUGAAGGAAGAAGGUCUUGGAUUGUAAACUUUUGUCCUAUGGGAAGAAGGAAGUGACGGUACCAUGGGAGGAAGCCCCGGCUAACUACGUGCCAGCAGCCGCGGUAAUACGUAGGGGGCGAGCGUUGUCCGGAAUUACUGGGCGUAAAGGGCGCGCAGGCGGCCGAUCAAGUUAGAUGUGAAAUACCUGGGCUUAACCUGGGAACUGCAUUUAAAACUGGUUGGCUAGGAGUGCAGGAGAGGGAAGCGGAAUUCCUAGUGUAGCGGUGAAAUGCGUAGAUAUUAGGAGGAACACCAGUGGCGAAGGCGGCUUUCUGGACUGUAACUGACGCUGAGGCUCGAAAGCGUGGGGAGCAAACAGGAUUAGAUACC